GUAAGGUAACAGUAGGAGCAGGUAGAUAGUUGAGCUUCCUCCCUCCAGGAAAGUAAUCCCAGAAGGGUCUGUAGAAAGCUGCUUGUUCACUGGAACUGUCCUUGGCAGGGAGAAGGAGACUGCUAAAGCAGCCUAGGAAAAGAGAGAUUCCAGGGAAGAAACUCUGAGGGUCAGUGCUUUGGCAGGAGCUGGGCCUCUAGGGAGAAAGCCCUGGGGUGGGGUCAGGGCUUUGUAACAGUGAGGAAGAAUUCUACAGCGGCUGGGAGAGGGGUGAGAGAGUUUUAGUUCCUCUUACUUUCUGAAUGUGGGCACUGUUACCCUGGAAGAGGUGGGACUCUUAGUGUGACCUGCCUGAAGAGCCAAGUUUGUUGCACAAACCACUGAAAUCUGGAGGAGAGGGUGAGGGAAAGUUGGGUCUUGCCAUGAGAAGGUGCUCCAGGGUGGUGAGUCUGAGGGAAUUUCAGUGAAAACACCGUAUCCUACUACUUGGCAAAUUUGGAGUCACAGCAAUUCAGGCUUACCCAGGGGUUCCUGGAAGAGAUGCUGCCCAGGAGAAGGUGAACCUAAACCUAUGGGUCCAGGCCCCUCAACCUGCAGUGGCUGCAGUACUUCUGCAGCUCACCCAAAUGGCACCAGAAGCCUGGUGCAAUGGACCAUUCAUGGACCAUUCCAAGAGGAAACAUUUCCGUGAUGAACUUUAUGGUUGAGGUUCUGGAUAGGGCCAACAAACAGGUUCAAUACCAAAGAUAGAGGGACUUGAGGCUAGAGGGAAGGUAUGACAAGAGGAAAGGCUCAGCCUGUGCAGCUUGAGGACAAGGUUUCAAUGCAAGAUCAGGCACUUCACAGUUCCUGGAACAGGAAUGGCAGCUAAGGGAGGACGAUGACAGAGCUCAGCAGAAAGAACUGUGUAAGUGGCGCAUAUCACUAAUGAGUGCAAGAGUAGCAGAUCCUUCUGCAUCACCCCCACCACAGCCUGGGUCCCCUGUGCACUACCCUGUGCUGCAAUCCAGAAGCAGCUUGCAAAGACUCCAUAGACCUCAUGAGUGGCUGGAGAGGGCAACCAUGCUCCAUGCAACUAUCCAUAUUGAUCCUCUUCCCUGUGGAUGCCUCUAGCCACCUCCCACCCAGUGCCAAGUGCAUAGCAAACAAAGAAAGAAAAGAAUGUGUGGCCAGGUGAUUUGUCAUGGUAGGGGGUUUCCGUCUUGUACAUGGUUUCAUUGUUUGCACUUGUUCUUCAUGCACUUUAAAAAAAAAUUCUGUAAGCUUCUGUUUUUGUUUUUUAUGGUGUGGCAUCUGGUCUUCCUGGGAAUGAGUGAAUAUUGUACUUUUCUAAUAUACAUUUAUAAAUAAAGGUUUUUAUUUCAUCAA